rnacentral:tRNA from 1 species
GAGGGUAUAGCUCAGUGGUAGAGUGCAUGCCUAGCAAGUAUGAGGUCCUUGGUUCAAUCCUCAGUACCUCCU